rnacentral:rRNA from 1 species
GACGAACGCUGGCGGCGCGCCUAACACAUGCAAGUCGAGCGCUCGUAGCAAUACGAGAGCGGCAGACGGGAGAGUAACACGUGGGAACGUACCCUUUGGUUCGGAACAACCCAGGGAAACUUGGGCUAAUACCGAAUAAGCCCUUACGGGGAAGAUUUAUCGCCGAAGGAUCGGCCCGCGUCUGAUUAGCUAGUUGGUGGGGUAACGGCCCACCAAGGCGACGAUCAGUAGCUGGUCUGAGAGGANGAUCAGCCUCACUGGGACUGAGACACGGCCCAGACUCCUACGGGAGGCAGCAGGUGGGGAAUAUUGGACAAUGGGCGCAAGCCUGAUCCAGCCAUGCCGCGUGGGUGAUGAAGGCCCUAGGGUUGUAAAGCCC